AUGGCCUACUUCUGCACGCUGUCCGGCGCGGACCUCUCCUUGUCCCUCCCAACAAGAGGCGACGAGAGGACGGGCGCGCUGGCGGGUCACAUGGCGUCUGCUCUGGCGCCGGAGGAGGGCGCGGGCGCCAAGAACGUCGGCGAGGGGAACGGGAGCGCGGUGGGCCGGUCGUCGAGGCACCGGUCCUUGCGCUCCGACGCGGCGGAGGUGCUUCAGGAGGGGGGAUGCGACCGGCGGACCAAGACCAAGAAGCGGGCGGCGCGUGCGCCGAAGGGGGAGGGGCGCGCUCGGUACGGCUGCGCGUUCGAGGAGGAGGAGGAGGGGAUCGCGGCGCCGAAUCGGCUGGUGUGGUCCAAGGUGAAGGGCUACCCGUGGUGGCCGGCCCAGGUGUUCGACCCGAAGGACGCGUCGGCGCUCGCGCUGGCGGAGCGCCGGAAGGACGGGGCCGUCCUCGUCACCAACUUCUGGCAGAAGACGUUCGCGUGGGUGUCCGGCGCGGCGUCGCUCCGCCCGUUCCGCGACGGGUUCCAGCGCUUCGCCGCCGUCGACCGCGCCCACGUCCAGCUCUGGGGCGCCCGCGCCACCAUGUCCCCGUUCGCCUCCGCCCUGGACACCGCGCUCAGCGAGGUCGCGCGCCGUGUGGAGGCCGGCCUGUCGUGCGACUGCGCCAUCGGCAACCGCGUCUCCAAGAAGCAGGUGAUCGACAACCCCGGCGUCCGUGAGGGCGCGCACGGCGCGGUGGUGGAUGCCGCCUUCACCAGGGACGCGUUCCGCGGCGAGGCGUUCGUCGAGUACGUCUCCGCGCUUGCCGUCGCGCCGCUGGCCGGAACCGACAGGCUCGAGCUCACCGUCGCCAUGGCGCAGCUCACGGCCUUCACCCGGUGGAGGGGUACCCGAGGCCUCCCCGUGUACACGGCUUGCCAUGGCAUCGACGAUAUUGCAGACGGUGUCAGGGAGGGCACGCCGGCACGCCGUGCCACCAAGAGGGGAAGGCCAAAGGGCGACAAUGCCGCCAAGGGCAAACGGAAGAUGUCAAGGUACUGCACCUGCGACGGCAGCGCAAGCGAGAGCGCGGAAGAUCCCUUGGAGAUGGAGGAGAACUAUGAGCCCAGGCCACAGCCCGUGUCUCACCAGACGACCACGAAGAUGGGGAGGCUCAUGAGCCAGGCCGCACGCCGGAUGUCGCUGUCGCCAGUGAGCCACAAAGCCGAUCCUCAGGCGAAUGCAGGUGUGACGAUGACAAGGUGCACCGGGGCUGCUGCUGCUGAUCAUACCACCGCUGCUCCUUCAGUGAAGCCGCAGAAUGGUGGCCUCAACAAGGAUGAGCCUUUGCUGACUGGGCUGUCGCUGAACUUCAGCGGCCCGGACACCAUCCCUCCGGCGAGUGACCUCGUCAAGAUCUUCAGCAAGUUUGGGCCUGUGGUGGAAGUCAGGCCAGAAGGUUUGACGGUCUCCAUGGUGAUCUUCAAGAGGAAAUUGGAUGCCGAGGCGGCAUUUUCAAGCACGCCGAAGAUCCGUGCCCUGGACCCAAAUCUGGUCAGCUACCGCCUCGCCUACUCGCUGCCGGCUCCUAUGCCGGUUGAUUCUCCACAGAGCCCAAUGAACACCGAUGAAAUGGAUCACCUAUUUGUUGAUGAUGAUGAAGCUCUUCAGUAG
rnacentral:rRNA from 1 species